UUUUUUUUUUUUUUUUUUUGAAGUCCUAAGCCUGAUCUCCAGGACCAGGUUCUCUGCUUCCAGCCUCUAGAGCUGCGCCUAGCCAAAGGCCUUUCCUGCCAUGCGACCUGUUAAUGUGUGGCAAUGGUGCCCAUGGGGACUGUUGCUGCUGGGUUUGCUGAGCAGCUCCAGCUUGGAGUCUCCAUCCCCCUCCAUGGGCCCAGAGAAGAAGGCAGGAAGCCAGGGGCUGCGAUUCCGGCUGGCUGGCUUCCCUAGAAAGCCCUAUGAGGGCCGAGUGGAGAUACAUCAAGCAGGUGAAUGGGGCACCAUCUGCGAUGAUGACUUCACGCUGCAGGCUGCACACGUCCUCUGCCGGGAGCUGGGCUUCACAGAGGCCACUGGUUGGACCCAUAGUGCCAAAUAUGGCCCAGGAACAGGCCGAAUCUGGCUGGACAACCUGAGCUGCAGUGGGACUGAGGGAAGUGUGACUGAAUGUACCUCCCGGGGCUGGGGGAAUAGUGACUGCACACACGAUGAGGAUGCCGGGGUCAUCUGCAAGGACCAGCGCCUUCCUGGCUUCUCAGAUUCCAAUGUCAUUGAGGUGGAGCAUCACCUGCAAGUGGAGGAGGUGCGACUUCGACCAGCCGUGGGGCGGGGCAGGCGACCCCUGCCCGUGACUGAAGGACUGGUUGAAGUCAGGCUUCUCGAUGGUUGGUCGCAAGUGUGUGACAAAGGCUGGAGCACCCACAACAGCCAUGUGAUCUGCGGCAUGCUGGGCUUCCCUGGAGAAAAAAGAGUCAACACGGCCUUCUAUAGAAAGUUGAGGAAGCGAAUGGCCAGAGCCUCAACCCGAGGCCCCAAGCCUCUUGGAAGACCAAUCACCAAGUUUAAAGUCAAACACAAGUCCCAAGUGGGCAGAGGGCCAAGCAAGAGGCUGCUGGCUCAGAGGCAGCAACACUCCUUUGGGCUACAUGGAGUAGCCUGUGUGGGCACAGAGGCCCACCUCUCCCUCUGUUCCCUGGAGUUCUAUCGUGCCAAUGACACCACCAGGUGCCCUGGGGGGAGCCCUGCAGUGGUGAGCUGUGUGCUGGGCCCUCUCUACACCACUGGUCUGAAGAAGCAUCAACAGUCAAAGCCUCUGGGGGAGGCCCGUGUACGUCUAAAGGGUGGUGCCCACCCUGGAGAGGGCCGGGUAGAAGUUCUGAAGGCUGGCACGUGGGGCACAGUCUGUGACCGAAAGUGGGACCUGCAGGCAGCCAGUGUGGUGUGUCGGGAGCUGGGCUUUGGCACUGCUCGAGAGGCCCUGAGUGGCGCCCGCAUGGGGCAGGGUAUGGGUGCCAUUCACUUGAGUGAAGUUCAGUGCUCUGGUCAGGAACCCUCCCUCUGGAAGUGCCCUUACAAGAAUAUCACAGCUGAGGACUGUUCCCAUAGCCAGGAUGCUGGGGUCCGAUGCAACUUACCCUACACUGGGGUAGAAACCAAGAUCAGACUCAGUGGGGGCCGCAGCCGAUAUGAGGGGCGAAUCGAGGUGCAAAUAGGGGAACCUGGGCAUCUUCGCUGGGGCCUUAUCUGUGGAGAUGACUGGGGGACGCUGGAGGCCAUGGUGGCCUGUAGGCAACUUGGUCUGGGCUACGCCAACCACGGCCUGCAGGAGACCUGGUACUGGGACUCAGGGAAUGUAACCGAGGUGGUGAUGAGUGGAGUACAUUGCAUAGGGUCUGAGCUGUCUCUGGACCAAUGCGCCCAUCACAGAACACAUGUCACCUGCAAGAAGACAGGGACCCGAUUCACAGCUGGAGUCAUCUGUUCUGAGACUGCUUCAGAUCUGCUGCUGCACUCAGCGUUAGUGCAGGAGACUGCCUACAUCGAGGACCGGCCGCUGCACAUGUUGUACUGUGCUGCUGAAGAGAACUGCCUGGCCAGCUCUGCCCGCUUGGCCAACUGGCCUUAUGGCCACCGUCGUCUACUCAGAUUCUCCUCCCAGAUCCACAACCUGGGAAGAGCUGACUUCAGGCCCAAGGCUGGGCGCCAUUCCUGGGUGUGGCAUGAGUGCCAUGGGCAUUACCACAGCAUGGACAUCUUCACUCACUAUGAUAUCCUGACCCCCAACGGCACCAAGGUGGCUGAGGGCCACAAAGCUAGUUUCUGUCUUGAGGACACUGAGUGUCAGGAAGAUGUCGCCAAAAGGUAUGAAUGUGCCAACUUCGGAGAGCAAGGUAUCACCGUAGGUUGCUGGGAUCUCUACAGGCAUGACAUCGACUGUCAAUGGAUUGACAUCACAGAUGUGAAGCCAGGAAACUACAUUCUCCAGGUGAUGCCUUCAGCGAAGAGGCCAAUAGGAGGUUUGAGCGCUACCCUGGCCAGACCAGCAACCAGAUCGUCUAAAGUGCCACCACACCACCCUCCUCUGCAAACCACCACUGGCCCCCAAUGGGGGUCUGAGGCUGCCAUUACCUCAGGAGCUUACAUGGAACCCCUGAUGUCAGCAGAAGUUAGCACUUUACAGUUAGCCCUCCCUUCCUGGGCCUGCUGUCAGUAUCCCUGGCCAAGCAUGGAGAAUCAGCAGCCAGCCUAGCACCAGGCCGAGUGCACUACAAAGAACUGCCCCACCAGGAAUGGCAGCAGCUCAUUACCUUGAAUGGGGAGGUCAGGAAGGUCAUCUCCCAGAGUUCUAAGUUCAUGGGAGAUAUAGCUUUACCUCUAGCUUUUUGGUGGGGGGAAAAAAAUCCAGCCCCCUGUUUUUGGCUAUAUCAUGUUGCUCAGUGUAAUUUUAUUUUAUAUAAAAAGUGUUCUUCAGA